rnacentral:rRNA from 1 species
AUGCACGCUGGCGGCGUGCCUAAUACAUGCAAGUCGAGCGAACAGACGAGGAGCUUGCUCCUCUGACGUUAGCGGCGGACGGGUGAGUAACACGUGGAUAACCUACCUAUAAGACUGGGAUAACUUCGGGAAACCGGAGCUAAUACCGGAUAAUAUAUUGAACCGCAUGGUUCAAUAGUGAAAGACGGUUUUGCUGUCACUUAUAGAUGGAUCCGCGCCGCAUUAGCUAGUUGGUAAGGUAACGGCUUACCAAGGCAACGAUGCGUAGCCGACCUGAGAGGGUGAUCGGCCACACUGGAACUGAGACACGGUCCAGACUCCUACGGGAGGCAGCAGUAGGGAAUCUUCCGCAAUGGGCGAAAGCUUGACGGGGCAACGCCGCGUGAGUGAUGAAGGUCUUCGGAUCGUAAAACUCUGUUAUUAGGGAAGAACAAAUGUGUAAGUAACUAUGCACGUCUUGACGGUACCUAAUCAGAAAGCCACGGCUAACUACGU